GGGCCGCUGGUCUAGUGGUAUGAUUCUCGUGAGUAUUCCCUCAUCAACUUCGGCUGUCCAUAUUGUGGAUGCACAUCGAGUCAUCAACUAACAACAACAAAUAGGCUUAGGGUUCACCCUAAAGUACACAUUGCGAGAGGUCCCGGGUUCAAUCCCCGGGUGGCCCC